UUGAUUUAAGAUAAUCAUGCACCUAUCUAGUUCAUAUUUAUUUGAAUAUAUGUUCAGAUAACAGUUCAUAUAUGAGUGUAUGUUUAUGUAUAACGCUGCAUCUGUGCCUGCUUUGAUUUCUGAGCUGGUCCUCCAUAUUUUGCUUUCUCCUCUGUUAACAGUAUUUUCAUCACGGCACCGUGUAUUUACUGAGUUUGUGAUAAUUUUCAUAGCACGUUAACACGUGUAAGUAAAUCUUGCAGGUCCAUACAGGACACUUGACGCUUCCAUGCAACAACGUGGCCCGAUGAAGCCGCCACGUGGCCCGAUUAUGCCGCCACGUGGCCCGGUCAAGCCACCACCUGGCCCGAUGAAGCCACCACGUGGCCCGAUGAAGCCACCACGUGGCCCGGUCAAGCCACCACCUGGAAAGAAGCCACCACCCGGGUCACAGUAAUGCUUACAAGUGGAAUUGUGAAAUCCCUUGAGAAUGGAACACUACGGAUUAGAAGCCAGUAAAGUGUCGACCGACAGCUAGUAGUAUCUUUAUUAACAUGGUAAUAUGAU
rnacentral:lncRNA from 1 species